rnacentral:lncRNA from 2 species
GUGAGAGGCCCAAAGAACAGGAGGUGUGAGCCAAGAGAAGGUCCUGCCAGGCCUAUGUUGCAGGCUAUUUGGAGGCUGAACUUGAGAGUGGCUGUGAGAGGAAAUUCAGAAGUAUCUUUGGAAGCAUUUUGUUAAUUUUGAGAUGCUGGGGACAUCAUCAAAAUGAAAAACUUUUGUGCCUCAAAGAACACCAUCAAGAAACUGAAAAGACAACCCAAGAAGACAAAAUUUGCAAAUCUUAUAUC